UAUGAGGAGAAAUCGGGCUCCAGUCAAUACUCUAUACUACAAGUGAUGUGGCUGACCAGAGAAGAAAAACUCAUUUAAUACUGAGACAAGGGACACUGGAUUCAUCAUGUCAGUUAAGCUUCCUAAGAGGCUGAGCAGCAAGAAAAAAAAACCUCCAAAAGACAAUGCCCAGACAGAGGUUCUACAUAAGCUGGGCCUGGAGGCCUUCAGGACUGCACCACUAGACCCAGCAUCUAUGUUGGACAUCAGCACUUGGACUCUGGAGAACCAAACUCCUCUAGAGCUCAAAGAUCUGCCAAAUGCUUUCCUCCAACGCCUUUGGCUACUAAGCCCCAAUGCUCGAAGUACUUGCUGCAAAUCUCCAAGUGAUGCUGUGAACAAAUCACCUGAGGAGAUGAUCAAUGGUUUUGGUGAAGAAAGCCAGUAUGCCAUCAACCCCUUGAUCUAGUUACAGCGGUCUUUAUGUCUGCCAACACCUUCCUUCAGCAGGAGAUGGCUGUGCGCAUGAUGCAAUGCCAGUUCGCUGUGCCCCUGGUACUACCAAGCAUAGAUCCAGAGGAAGCCAGUCGCUUCCUUCUUUGGCC